rnacentral:rRNA from 1 species
AUUGAACGCUGGCGGCAGGCCUAACACAUGCAAGUCGAGCGGCAGCGGAAAGUAGCUUGCUACUUUGCCGGCGAGCGGCGGACGGGUGAGUAAUGUCUGGGAAACUGCCUGAUGGAGGGGGAUAACUACUGGAAACGGUAGCUAAUACCGCAUAACGUCGCAAGACCAAAGAGGGGGACCUUCGGGCCUCUUGCCAUCAGAUGUGCCCAGAUGGGAUUAGCUAGUAGGCGGGGUAACGGCUCACCUAGGCGACGAUCCCUAGCUGGUCUGGGAGGAUGACCAGCCACACUGGAACUGAGACACGGUCCAGACUCCUACGGGAGGCAGCAGUGGGGAAUAUUGCACAAUGGGCGCAAGCCUGAUGCAGCCAUGCCGCGUGUAUGAAGAAGGCCUUCGGGUUGUAAAGUACUUUCAGCGGGGAGGAAGGCGUUGAGGUUAAUAACCUCAGCGAUUGACGUUACCCGCAGAAGAAGCACCGGCUAACUCCGUGCCAGCCGCCGCAGUAA